ACGGGAGGCAGCAGUGGGGAAUAUUGCACAAUGGGGGAAACCCUGAUGCAGCGACGCCGCGUGAGUGAAGAAGUUAUUCGUAAUGUAAAGCUCUAUCAGCAGGGAAGAAAAUGACGGUACCUGACUAAGAAGCCCCGGCUAACUACGUGCCAGCAGCCGCGGUAAUACGUAGGGGGCAAGCGUUAUCCGGAUUUACUGGGUGUAAAGGGGGCGUAGACGGCUUUGCAAGUCUGAUGUGAAAGGCAGGGGCUCAACUCCUGGACUGCAUUGGAAACUGCUUGGCUUGAGUGCCGGAGAGGUAAGCGGAAUUCCUAGUGUAGCGGUGAAAUGCGUAGAUAUUAGGAGGAACACCGGUGGCGAAGGCGGCUUACUGGACGGUAACUGACGUUGAGGCUCGAAAGCGUGGGGAGCAAACAGGAUUAGAUACCCUGGUA
rnacentral:rRNA from 1 species